CAGAACCUUAUGUUAACCCUCCUCGUCCUCCUCAUCAGAGCUCAGCACAGGCAUGACGGUGACUCCAGAGAAGUUACCGUCCGCACCUGAAGUUUUUACUGGAAUUAAUAAAAUAUGCAGACUGCGCAGACCAACUGUGUGGGGUGAUGGAGCACCUCUUCAACCUGAGCCUGAGGCUGGGGAGAGUCCCACAGCUCUGGAAAACCUCCUGUGUUGUACCAGUGCCAAAGACUUCACGCCCCAAGGACCUCAACAGCUACAGGCCGGUGGCUCUGACAUCCCACCUGAUGAAGACUCUGGAGCGGCUGGUCCUGGCUCAGCUUCGGCGCCUGGUGAGCUCAUCACUGGACCCACUUCAGUUUGCCUACCAGCCGUCAUUCACCUCGUGCAUCGUUCCCUCGCUCACCUGGAGACCGCUGGGAGCACUGUGAGAAUCAUGUUUUUUGAUUUCUCCAGUGCCUUCAACACCAUUCUUCCCACGGUCCUGAAGGACAAGCUGGAGAACUCUGGAGUGGACCAUCACCUCACUACCUGGAUUCUGGACUACCUCACCGACCGACCACAGUAUGUGAGGACUCAGGGCUGUGUGUCGGACAGGGUCGUCUGCAGUACGGGGGCCCCACAGGGAACGGUUCUGGCUCCGUUCCUCUUCACCAUCUACACUGCGGACUUCUCCCACAACUCCACUGUGCAAAUUCCCUGCUGACUCGGCCUCAGGAGGGCUAGAGGCAAGAAUCAAGCGCACCCAAAUGAGCGCAUCAUUGAUCAUGUGUGCAUCACGCAGAGGGAGAGUGGGAGUGAGAGACGAAAGGCGCAGCGACAGAGCAUGGCAGUUGUAACGCAGUUUGUGUGAUUCCGUGUGCGUUAAUGAAUCUACAACCAUGCUUAUAGUCACCUAUACUGCAUCUGCUAGUUAUAAGUUCAUAUCUGGCUGCAGCACAGUUGGAUUUAUCCUGGCAGCCUGCUGUAACCAGUUCUUCUGUGAAGCUUAAUUAAAGACAGUGAACUAAACUCCUGGACUGCUGCAGUCUUUCUGACCGAAGACUUAGGCCAGACUUGUAUACCCAGCACUUCCAGUAUAUAUAUAUUCUACAAGUGGUCCUUCGAGCCGGAUGUAUACAAGCUGCGCUAUGGCUACACCCAGAGAGUUUAACUACGACCAGCCUGCACUGAGUCCCCGUCCCAGCAGGGUGCGACGCAUUCCCGGACAUCUGGAGGACUUCGAACUCACCUACCCAGCUCACCGUCUUUAUAGUACCACAGUAAGACCAGCAUCACCACUGACAACAACUUACGCAGCACCACUCAGCCCUGGGAGUUCCCCUAACUACCCGGCAGCUGGUCAUUAUGGUACGGCAAGUCCAGAGGAAAGAUGGCAGCGGCUGGAAUCACGUUGGCAAACGAUAAGUCAGCAGAUGAAAGAACUUGAAGUGGAAAUGGACAGGGUCAGAUUGCCUUCGUAUCCACAGAGUGCACAUCUGCCUUACCCUUCAUACCACUAUGCAGCAUUUCAGCCACAUUACAGUAGCCUCCCCCAUUUAGAACUGGGUUACCCUGUACGGCCUCCCAGUCCAAGAGCUGCACCUAACAUUCAGCACCAGGUUCUGCACGCUCCAACACAAGCCCCUGCUCCUCAAGUGCAGGUUGACACUGCUGCAUCAAACCCACAGCCUGCUUCAGAAGCGAUGUCUGUACCAGCUCCCGCAUCCACGGCUCCUCCAGCCUGCUCGCCGCCGUUGGCAACGCAGCCGGUACCCCCUGCUCUAACACAGCCUGCAUUGCCCUUCGCACCACCUCCUGCUACUCUAAUGAUGGCUCCGCCAGUGUCCCUUAUCACACCGCCGCCAGAACCACAUGUGCCUCAGCCAGUGCCCUCUACCACACCGUUACAGCCUGAGCAUGUUCCACCAGAGCCGCAGUAUGAUGCACUUCCCAGGGCCUGGCAGUCUGUUCCACUGCCAUAUCCACCUGUGCAUUAUCCUAGAUCACCCCGUGGUCAGCACUGUUAUCCGACACCUCACCCAGUAGACAGUUCACAUCAGCCAAGUAUGAUGGAGAUGGCGAUUGCUUCAUCAUUUGGCAUUCCUAAACCUAAACUGACUGUAUUCAGCUCAGGGAAAGAGAGUGAUUUUCUUAUGCUCAAAAAGGGUCUGGACAGCUUACUUGGUCCACACAAGCAUUUAAGUGAAGACUAUAAGUAUCAGAUCCUGCUUGACCAUCUCACAUUCCCAUCUGCACUUCAAGUGGCAAAGAGGUAUGUCAACAGUCAGACCCCAUACACAAGUGCCAUGCAAGCGCUCACACAGAGGUACGGACAGCCAAGGCAGCUAGUGCAGGGGGAACUGAAGGCCAUUCUGAAUGCCCCACCAGUCAGGGCCGGAGAUUAUCAAGCAUUUGAGGACUUUGCUACCGCAGUUGGAACUCUAGUGGGGAUGCUCAGUACAAUGGAGGGCCCCUCAUCGUCAGAGUUGAAGUGUGGGUCUCAUGUGGACACCCUACUCACCAAACUCCCCACUAACUAUCGAGAUGCAUUUGCUGAACAUUGCUUUAACCGAGGAAUUAUCCAAAGUGGCAGUGAUCGUACAUACACUCUCCCUGAUCUGGCUGAGUGGCUGGAAAGGAAGGCCCAGACGCUGCAAGUGUCUCGCCAAAUCACAAGCCCCUUCCCAGCUAUACCAGCACCGACUGAGUACAAGGACCGGAAAGCAGUGAGACAACAGAGGGUCAAACCUGCUACUAUUCUGCUUGGGAGUCAGCAGGGAUCGAAGCCCGCUAAUCCUUCUCCGAGCCCUGCCACUGUACCACCCCUGAAGAAGAGAGAUCGUUUCAAGCCCUUCUGUCCUUAUUGUAAUAACCAGGAGCACUACCUCAAUGCCUGUGCUGACUUUGCCACGCUCACCUGUACUGCCAGAGCUGCCUGGAUAAAAGAGAAAAAACGAUGUUGGAAAUGUGGGAGAGGACAUUCCCCAGAAAACUGCACUCUGAAGAAGCCCUGUGCAACAUGUGGAGAACAACAUCUGCUCAUACUACAUGAUGUUGCUGCUGCAGAGAGCGUCCUGACCGUGAAUACGUCCUCCAGCAUGGUUUUCUUGGACCAAGUCAGCCAUUCAGGGCGGGUAAUGCUAAAGGUUGUCCCAGUGCGGUUGCAAAAUGGGGAGAAAACACUGGACACAUAUGCUGUCCUGGAUGAUGGCUCCGAAAGAACAAUCAUACUACCUGCUGCCGUCCAUCACCUUGGCCUUGUGGGAACAGAAGAGAUUCUGUCCCUCAGGACAAUUCGACAAGAAAUCGUACAGCUGAAGGGAGCCACUGUAUCCUUUCAGGUGUCAGGUAUGACAAACCGAAGAGUGAAAUAUGACAUUCACCAGGCUUUUACAGCAGCCGAAGUAACUCUGGCAGAGCAAUCACGUGCUGCUGACCUCCUGACACAACGAUACAAACACUUGAGAGGCUUAUCCCUGCAGUCCUUUGACAAAGUCCAGCCCCUGCUACUUAUCGGUUCUGAUAACCCUCACCUGAUAAUACCUACCCAGCCUGUGCGUACCGGUCCAGUUGGUGGCCCAGUGGCUGUGUGCACAAUGCUGGGGUGGGCGAUUCAGGGACCAGCAAGCUUUUUGCAGCAACCAACAGAUGAGAGAAGCUGUCUGCAUUUGUCCACUCUCUCCUCCUCAGAUGAGCUGCAUCAACAUGUCCAGAGACUCUGGCAGCUGGACACCCUACCCUUCCACACCAACAAGGAGGUGACGCGAUCAGGCGAAGAUAAAGCAGCCAUAGAACGACUGGAGCAAGGGACUGUCCGGGUCACCGUUGAUGGAGUGGUUCGCUAUGCUACUCCACUGUUGCGAAGACAGAAUGCACCUGUUCUUCGGGCACCUCCCACAGCAGUGAUGGCACUCCUCAGAGCGACAGAGCGACGUUUGUGUAACAAUCCAGAUCAAGCUGCUGUCUACAAUGAGGAAAUUCACAAGUUGGAGAAAGCUGGUUAUGUAGUGAAGAUCAGCAUGAAUGAGGCCAGCAGCUCUGCAGAAUCAUGGUUUAUCCCGCACCACAUUGUGUACCACAACAACAAGCCCAGAAUCGUCUUCAACUGCUCCUUUAACUACAGGCAAGCUUCUCUUAACAAGAACCUGCUUCCUGGCCCAGUUCUCGGGUCAACACUGCUUGGCGUGCUCUUGAGAUUUAGAGAGUACGCUGUCGCUAUCAGUGGAGAUAUUCGCGGCAUGUUCCAUCAGGUGCGCCUUCUGCCUGAGGACCAGCCACUUCUACGCUUCUUAUGGCGAGAUGGGGAGAGGGAGCGCAGCCCAGACGUGUACGAGUGGCGUGUCCUUCCUUUCGGGACCACAUGUAGCCCAUGCUGUGCUACAUAUGCCCUGCAACGCCAUGUAAAGGAUCACAGCGAAGACAAUGAAGAGGCACUGUAUUCUGUGCUCCAUGCAUUCUAUGUGGAUAACUGCUUACAGUCUCUACAAUCUCAGACUCAGGCAAAGGACCUGAUAGACAAGAUGAGAGCCCUCCUUGCCAGUGGAGGAUUUGAGAUAAGGCAGUGGGCUAGCAACACACCUGAGGUCAUUUCUCACCUACCAACAGAAGCCAAAUCAACCGAGUGUGAGUUAUGGCUAACCACUAACAAGACUGAACCACAAGAGUCUUCACUUGGUCUCCUGUGGCGCUGCAGCUCUGACACAUUGGGAUACAAGCACCGGGCCAUUCCACGUACUGCACCAACCCUGAGAUAUGUUUACAGAGUACUGGCCAGCCAAUAUGACCCAUUAGGUUAUAUCAUUCCCUUUACAACGCGAGCCAAGGUUCUGGUUCAGGCACUCUGGAAGAAAGAGAGGGGUUGGGAUGAGCCGAUUGCUGAUGAGCUCCUGUCCGUAUGGUUGGCAUGGGAAAGUGAGCUGCCAUACUUGCCAAACCUCAGCUUGCCAAGGUGUUACACUCCUGGUAUCUCAGCUGGGAGCCCCGUGAACCUACACAUCUUCUGUGAUGCCUCAGAGAGAGCCUAUGGUGCGGUUGCAUACCUGAGAGUAGAGACUGACAGCAAUGAAGUUAAAGUGGCAUUUGUGAUGGCCCGAUCUCGUGUGGCACCCAAAAGGCAGCUUUCAAUACCUCGCCUGGAGCUUUGCGCUGCCCUAGCAGGAGCACAGUUAGCCAAAGUUCUGCAGACCGAGUUAACCCUGCCAUUACAGACGACUACUCUGUGGACCGAUUCGACCACUGUCCUUCACUGGAUCCAGUCUGAAUCCCAGCAGUAUAAAGUGUUUGUGGGAACCCGAAUAGCAGAGAUUCAAGAGCUUGUUGGAGCUGAGAGCUGGAGAUAUGUUCCCUCUGAAGAGAACCCUGCCGAUGACAUCACACGUGGGAAAUCCUUAAGGGAUUUAACUAAGCCAACCCGCUGGACAGAUGGCCCAGCAUUUCUCCAUCAGCCUCCCGCUAGCUGGCCUACGCACCCCACAGUGAGCUCGAUGCAGGAGGAAGAGAUCCGCGACAUCAUCUUCUGUGGCAACAUUUCCACAAGCAGCCCGCUGACACCUGAUCUGAACCAGUUCAAAUCCUGGACUGAGCUGAUACAUGCCACGUAUCACGCCCUCCACGGGGCGGCCGCUCCACCCAUGACUGCCUCCAGUCGUAGGGAGGCAGAAAUUGCCCUACUGAAAAGGUCACAAAGUGAGAGUUUCCCGGCGGAGCUUGCUGCAUUGCAGUCGGGUAAAACUAUCAGCCCUAACAGUCGCUUGCUGUCGCUUUCACCUGAAUUAGACCAUACUGUAGGGUUGAUCAGGGUUGGAGGUCGGCUCCGGAGGGCUGAAAAUCUGAAAGAGGACACCAUCCAUCCUAUAGUUCUUGCACCAGAUCACCCUGUCACAAAGCUGUUAGUGCAGGACUAUGAUAACCGUCUGUUACAUGCAGGUCCUGACCGUAUAUUUGCAGAGAUGAGGAGGACCUACUGGAUACUUCGCGGCCGACAGAUCAUCAAGAGACAUCAACGCAGCUGUGUGGAAUGUUGUAAAUGGCGCAGCAAACCAGUCACUCCCCAGAUGGCAGACCUACCAGCUGCACGAUUACGCGUCACUAAACCACCAUACUGGUCCACUGGAGUCGACUGCUUUGGUCCUUACACCAUAAAAAUCGGACGGCGGCAUGAGAAAAGGUGGGGUAUUAUCUUUAAAUGUCUGACCACCAGGUGCGUACAUCUGGACCUCUUGUGCAGCAUGAACACAGAUUCAUUCUUGCUUGCCCUUCGGCGCUUUGUGGCAAGGAGAGGAAAACCCUUUGAGAUUCUCUGUGAUCGUGGCACCAACUUCAGAGGAGGAGAGAGGGAACUUAGAGAAGAUUUUGCUGCCAUGGAACCAGUUUUGAAGCAACAGCUCGCUGAACAGAGCAUUAAUUUCAAAUUCAAUCCACCACUUGCUCCACAUUUUGGAGGCACAUGGGAGAGGGAAAUCAAGUCGGUCAAAGCUUCCCUGCGUGUCGUCCUGAAAGACCAAGCUGUCCAAGAAGAAGUGCUGAUGACUAUGCUUGUAGAAGUGGAGGGCAUUCUUAACUCGAAACCCCUCGGUUAUGCAACAUCAGACAUUGCGGACCCUGAUCCCAUUACUCCUAACCUUCUGCUUAUGGGGCGGAGAGACGCAUCCCUACCACAAGCAGUGUACAGCAAGAGUGACCGACUGGGACACCGGCGCUGGAGACACAGCCAAGUGCUUGCUGACCAUUUCUGGGUUCAGUUUACUCGCAAUUACCUACCUAACCUUCAGCUCCGUCAAAAGUGGCGCAUCAGUACCCCCGAUCUCACAGUAGAUCGAGUGGUCAUGGUGAUUGACCCACAGCUACCAAGGGCUCUGUGGCCAGUUGGGCGGGUAACUAAAGUAAUCCCCAGCGACGAUGGUAAGAUAUGGACAGCUGAGGUCGACAUAAAAGGAGUUAAAUACAUCCGCCCCGUGACUAAGCUCAUCACUCUUCCAAAACUGCCAGAGGACUGAAGGGGUGUAUAUUAUCCAGCAGGGACAUUUGUGUUCUGCAAAUUCACUUAGUGAAUUUGGGGGCGGCUGUGCAAAUUCCCUGCUGACUCGGCCUCAGGAGGGCUAGAGGCAAGAAUCAAGCGCACCCAAAUGAGCGCAUCAUUGAUCAUGUGUGCAUCACGCAGAGGGAGAGUGGGAGUGAGAGACGAAAGGCGCAGCGACAGAGCAUGGCAGUUGUAACGCAGUUUGUGUGAUUCCGUGUGCGUUAAUGAAUCUGCCCUAAUGGGAGGAAGACGAAGGCCACUCUUGAGUCUCUCACCUCCCACUACCCACCGAGAUGCCCGCAUGACCAACUCCAUUGCCAUGAUAAAUGCCAGAGGGGAAAUCGUGCAGCCUGCCAUAACUCCAAUUCCCAGGUGCUGCCAGGCUGUGGUGGUGUUCUCAGCUGUCACACAAAACUACAUUCUUAAAGUAGGUCUUGACCAGUCCUGUGAUGUGGUUUGGUACACUGAAAUAGUUGAAGGCCAUCCACAAGAUUUCGUGCGGAACUGACCCAAAGGCGUUGGCAAGGUCUAAUAAGACCACAUGAAGGUCUCUUUGUUCACCAGUUUGAAUCUGGUGCCAGAUGACGCUGGCAUGCUCCAGGAAUCCUGAGAAGCCCCGGAUCACUGAUGUGUCAAUAUAGUUGUUUCUUUGCAGGAAAGCAGAUAGCCUUUGGGCCAAGACACUGAAGAAGAUCUUUCCCUCUAUGUUCAGCAGGCUGAUCUGGCGAAACUGGCUGAUGGAUGAGGAGUUCUUCUCCUUAGGGAUCAGAAUACCUCCUGCUCUUCGCCAGGCCUUUGGAAUCACUCCUUUCUGCCACGCUACCUUCAUCAGCUUCCACAGUUGACAAGGUGACAACAAUCACGUUGAAAAACCAUCGAUUUAUGGUUGAGCGGGAAAUUAAAGCUGCUACCACUUGGACUAUUCCAUAGCACCCCUAUCACAGUGGUACAUCCCAUCAGGCAGCGGGAAAUUCCAUUUAAGCUCAGCAGAGUUGACCGGACAUUUUGUCAGAACACCGGAGACGACAGUUUCUGCACGGCACUCUCGGCUGCAUCAGUUUUUAACCAUUUUUAACCAGUUACAGACUCUGAUGAUGAGCAACCUCCAAAAUAAAAGGUUUCCCCAGGACCCAUGUGUGAAAGUACCAGGCUCCACCACUCUGCAGUCUGCCCCCCAACCCACUACUAGCAACCAUCAUGAUGCCCCGGCCAUCUACCGGCUCCUUUCGCCAACCUACACAGCUCUGCAACCUCCCCAGCAAAUAGUCUGCGUAUCAGUGCCUUCUCUAACAACGAUUCCAGAGAGUCUGAGACGCAGCCUUCCAAAAACUUAUAAUCAUGAUAACAGGGCUGAUCAGAGAAGUCGGGGACCUCCGUGAGGAGUUCAGAGCCUUCCGUUAAUCCUGCAGCACUGACCCUGUUCAUGCUGGGGUAUUGCCUCUGGAUUAGCCAUUUAACAACAUAGAUGAGAUGAACUGCAAUGACCGGAGGCAAAUAAAGCAAUGAUGGCCUGACUCAGCGGGUGGGGGUAAACGCUGUUUCUGAGUUUGCCCUCGCCCAAGCAGUGCAGAAAUGUCUCUGCUACCCUUCAGAAAACAGGGAUGGUGCAGGAUGCCGAUAUCCAGCUUGAUCCCCGAGUAAACUAAAAAAAAAAAGUGACCUGUAACCAAUACAUGUAACAAAGAAACUUUUUUUUUUCAAACAUUCAACGACAUGAAUGCUUCAAAAGCGUCAACAUUAGCUCCUCUCUGACAGCAUGGUGGGAGUUUCUGAAGUUGACAGAGUCUUCAUUAAUCCCAUGCAAACG